rnacentral:rRNA from 1 species
AGAUUGAACGCUGGCGGCAUGCCUUACACAUGCAAGUCGAACGGCAGCACGGGAGCAAUCCUGGUGGCGAGUGGCGAACGGGUGAGUAAUAUAUCGGAACGUGCCCAGUCGUGGGGGAUAACGCAGCGAAAGCUGUGCUAAUACCGCAUACGAUCUCUGGAUGAAAGCGGGGGACUCGCAAGGGCCUCGCGCGAUUGGAGCGGCCGAUAUCAGAUUAGCUAGUUGGUGGGGUAAAAGCUCACCAAGGCGACGAUCUGUAGCUGGUCUGAGAGGACGACCAGCCACGCUGGAACUGAGAC